AGUGAACGCUGGCGGUAGGCCUAACACAUGCAAGUCGAACGGCAGCACAGUAAGAGCUUGCUCUUACGGGUGGCGAGUGGCGGACGGGUGAGGAAUAAAUCGGAAUCUACUUUUUGGUGGGGGAUAACGUAGGGAAACUUACGCUAAUACCGCAUACGACCUACGGGUGAAAGCAGGGGAUCUUCGGACCUUGCGCGAUUGAAUGAGCCGAUGUCGGAUUAGCUAGUUGGCGGGGUAAAGGCCCACCAAGGCGACGAUCCGUAGCUGGUCUGAGAGGAUGAUCAGCCACACUGGAACUGAGACACGGUCCAGACUCCUACGGGAGGCAGCAGUGGGGAAUAUUGGACAAUGGGCGCAAGCCUGAUCCAGCCAUACCGCGUGGGUGAAGAAGGCCUUCGGGUUGUAAAGCCCUUUUGUUGGGAAAGAAAAGCAGCAGGUUAAUACCCCGCUGUUCUGACGGUACCCAAAGAAUAAGCACCGGCUAACUUCGUG
rnacentral:rRNA from 1 species